rfam:Lucilia cuprina strain LS Scaffold385, whole genome shotgun sequence.
CCUUCGAUAGCUCAGUUGGUAGAGCGGUGGACUGUAGUUAACGGGAUGCAUAAAAACCAUCUACCUUUUCGUUCGCUUUCGCUGCCCUCAAAAAGCAGCGAUUCCUACACCUUCUAUGCAGACAUCCAUAGGUCGCUGGUUCAAAUCCGGCUCGAAGGA